CUAGCCGUAAACGAUGGAUACUAGGCGUUGUGAGUAUCGACCCUCACAGUGUCGUAGCUAACGCGUCAAGUAUCCCGCCUGGGGAGUACGCGCGCAAGCGUGAAACUCAAAGGAAUUGACGGGGGCCCGCACAAGCGGUGGAGUAUGUGGUUUAAUUCGAUGCAACGCGAAGAACCUUACCAGGACUUGACAUGUCGCGAAUCUCAGGGAAACUUGAGAGUGCCUUCGGGAGCGCGAACACAGGUGGUGC
rnacentral:rRNA from 1 species